rnacentral:rRNA from 1 species
GAUGAACGCUGGCGGCGUGCUUAACACAUGCAAGUCGAACGGAAAGGCCCAAGCUUGCUUGGGUACUCGAGUGGCGAACGGGUGAGUAACACGUGGGUGAUCUGCCCUGCACUUCGGGAUAAGCCUGGGAAACUGGGUCUAAUACCGGAUAGGACGAUGGUUUGGAUGCCAUUGUGGAAAGUUUUUUCGGUGUGGGAUGAGCUCGCGGCCUAUCAGCUUGUUGGUGGGGUAAUGGCCUACCAAGGCGUCGACGGGUAGCCGGCCUGAGAGGGUGUACGGCCACAUUGGGACUGAGAUACGGCCCAGACUCCUACGGGAGGCAGCAGUGGGGAAUAUUGCACAAUGGGCGCAAGCCUGAUGCAGCGACGCCGCGUGGGGGAUGACGGCCUUCGGGUUGUAAACUCCUUUCGCUAGGGACGAAGCGUUUCUGUGACGGUACCUGGAGAAGAAGCACCGGCUAACUACGUG